AUGCAGGAAGCUUCUAAGUGCAAGAUUGGGUCGUUGGGACAGCAGCAACAGCAUUGCUCACAUCUGAAAGCCCAAAUGUUGAGAGUAGUUAACACUUCACCACAAUCAGCUCUGACUAGAGAAAGAGAAAAACUAAGUACUUGGUGGCAGCAUCACAAUCCAGGAGCACCCCAGUCGGCACACAAUAGCGAAAGUAGAUCUUGCCCCACUGUUGGCUUUUCUUUGUUAAAAGUCCCUCAUCCUUACUAUGAGUCCUAAGACUAGUAGAGAUAGAAAGUGUCAGCAAUGUGCAGAACAAGAUUUUCAAGCACUUCUCCCAUUAUAAAAGCAUCAAUUUGAACAACUACCUACGCAUAAAAAUACCUUCACACCAGCUAGGAAAUCCAGCUGAGAGAUUACAGCACCCAGGUAAAGCACAGAAAUAAGGAAAGAUGCAUUUAAAAGCGUACAAAAGAUAGUUUCUUUUUUUUAAUUUUUUUAUUGUAUUUUAGGUUUUGGGGUACAUGUGCAGAACAUGCAAGAUAGUUGCAUAGGUACACAUGUGGCAGUGUGUUUUGCUGCCUUCCUCCCCUUCACCCACAUUUGGCAUUUCUCCCCAGGCUAUCCCUCCCCAGUUCUCCCCCCUGCUGUCCCUCCCCUAUUCCCCCCAGUAGACCCCAGUGUGUAGUGCUCCCUUCCCUGUGUCCGUGUGUUCUCAUUGUUCAUCACCUGCCUAUGAGUGAGAAUAUGUGGUAUUUCAUUUUCUGUUCUUGUGUCAGUUUGCUGAGAAUGAUGUUCUCCAGAUUCAUCCAUGUCCCUACAAAGGACACAAACUCAUCAUUUUUGAUUGUUCAUAAUAUUCCAUGGGGUAUAUGUGCCACAUUUUUCCAGUCCAGUCUAUCAUCUAUGGGCAUUUGGGUUGGUUCCAGGUCUUUGCUAUUGUAAACAGUGCUGCAAUGAACAUUCGUGUGCAUGUGUCCUUAUAGUAGACCGGUUUAUAGUCCUUUGGAUAUAUACCCAGUAAUGGGAUUGCUGGGUCAAAUGGAAUUUCUAUUUCUAAAGCCUUGAGGAAUCGCCACACUGUCUUCCACAAUGGUUGAACUCCCACCAGCAGUGUAAAAGUGUUCCUGUUUCUCCACAUCCUCUCCAGCAUCUGUUGUCUGCAGAUUUUUUAAUGAUCGCCAUUCUAACUGGCGUGAGAUGGUAUCUCAAUGUGGUUUUGAUUUGCAUCUCUCUAAUGACCAGUGAUGAUGAGCAUUUUUUCAUGUUUGUUGACCUCAUGUAUGUCUUCUUUUGUAAUGUCUGUUCAUAUCCUUUGCCCAUUUUUGAAUGGGCUUGUUUGUUUUUUUUUUGUAAAUCUGUUUGAGUUCUUUGUAAAUUCUGGAUAUCAGCCCUUUGUCAGAUGGGUAAACUGCAAAAAUUUUUUCCCAUUCUGUUGGUUGCUGAUUCACUCUAGUGACUGUUUCUUUUGCCGUGCAGAAGCUGUGGAGUUUCAUUAGGUCCCAUUUGUCUAUUUUGGCUUUUGUUGCCAAUGCUUUUGGUGUUUUGGUCAUGAAGUCCUUGCCUACUCCUAUGUCCUGAAUGGUUUUGCCUAGAUAUUCUUCUAGGGUUUUUAUGGUGCCAGGUCUUACGUUUAAGUCUUUAAUCCAUCUGGAGUUAAUUUUAGUGUAAGGUGUCAGGAAGGGGUCCAGUUUCUGCUUUCUGCACAUGGCUAGCCAGUUUUCCCAACACCAUUUAUUAAACAGGGAGUCCUUUCCCCAUUGCUUCAUAUUACACACAUUACCCCUUUUCCCAGCUUGGGCAGCACAGUACUAAGAGAAAUAUUCUCCACACAGGGAAAGGAGAGUAAAGUGAGAAGUCAGCUGAGAACUCAGUUUUUCCAUAGAUCCCAACACCACUAAAGAUCAGCAUAGUAAAUCAGUACCAUGGACUCAGGCUCCAAACCUACACUAGCACCACUCCAAACCUGUGGACUCAGGCUCCGAACCUACACUAGCACCAGGCCAACACCCAUGGUCCCAGGGUUAUGGCUUUCCCAGUGCAAGGGCAGCAACCACAACUCCAGAAUCCAGGAUAUCCCCUUCAGACCCAGGCUCCAGACACCCUCCAUCACUAGGCUGGCCCUUGUGGAUCUGAAAUUCAGUCUAUACCACAGAUUCAAGCACCACUUUUAGCAGUGCAGACUGAAGCUCCAGGCUCAUACCUACAGACCUAAGCUUCAGGCAAGCCUCUGAAGACCCAGGCUCCAGGCUGGUUCUUGUGGACUCAGGGGCUAGGCCUGCCUUCUCACUGACCCAGGAUUCAGGUCAGCCCAUCUAAUGAUACCAGCAGCAGGCCAAUCAGUAGAGCCCACUAGAUGGCCCACAUAAAAUCUCUGGAUAGGCUAACAACUGAAGCCAGUCAGUAAAUGCUCUAAGAAGUGUCUACUUCUUCAAAUAUACAGACAUCAAGGCCACUAGCAUCAUAAAUAAUCAGAAAACAAUGACACCACUAAAGUAACAAAAUAAAGCACUAGUAACUUAUCCUAAAGAAAUCAAGAUUUACCAACUUCUCAACAAGUAAUUAAAAAUAAUAGUUUGAAAGUAUCUCACAGUAAGCUGUAAGAGAACCCAGAUAGUCAACCAGACAGAACGAGGAAAAUAAUAAUGAAUAAAAUUAGAAGUUUGACAAAGAGGUAGAAACAAGGAAAAAAAGAGCUAAACCAAACUUCUGGAGCUGAAGAACACAAUGACUGGGCUGAAAAAUUCCAUAGAGAGCUUUAAGCAGAAGAAAGAAUCAGCAAACAAAAAGACAAGUUAUUUGAAAGUAACAAGUCUGAAGAAUAAAAAGAAAAAACAUUGUUGCAGUUCUACACAGUAAAAAUAAGUAUAUGAAAAAGCAAAAUUAUCUCCAAUGGUAUACAAAGAGUAAAAUACUUAAGAAUAUAUUUAGCCAAGCAGUUGAAUGAUCUGCAAACUGAAAUCUACAAGAUAUUAGUAAAACAAAUUUUUGAAGACACAAAUAAAUGGAAAAAUAUCUCAUGUUUAUCAAUUAGAAUAAUUAAUAUUAUAAAUGGCAAUUCUACACAAAGUAAUCUAUAGAGUCUUGCAAUCCCUAUAAAAAUUCCAAUGAUAUUUUUUAUUAAAAAGCUAUUUACAUCAGGACAGGCAAUAACCUUUUUGAUAUGACACCAAGGCACAAGCAGCAAAAGCAAAAUAGUAGGCAAAUGGGAGAGCAUCAAACUAAGAAGCUUCUGUAUUACAAAGUAAACAAUUAACGGAGUGAAGACACAACCUAAGAAAUGAAAGAAAAUAUUUGCAAGCCAUACAUCUGAUAAUGGAUUAGUAGCCAAAAAUAUAGAAACUCAAACAACUCAAUAGCAAGAUAACAAAUAACUCUAUUAAAAAGUGUGCAAAGGAUCUGAAUAGUCUUUUCUCAGAGGAAGACAUAAAAAUAGCCAACAGGUGUAUGAAAAAAUACUCAACAUGCCUAACCAUCAGGGAAAUGCAAACCAAAACCAUAAGAUAUCACCUCACAAUGGUUAAAAUGGUUAAUAAAAGAGACAAAAGAAAGAAAGUUUUGGUGUGGAUGUGCAGAAAAGGAAAUCUUUUAUACUGUUGAACAGAAAUGUAAAUUGCUAUAGCCAUUAUGGAAAACAGUAUGUAUUUUCUCAAAAUAUUAAAAAUAGAACUACUGUAUGAUUCAACAGUCUCACUUCUUGAUAUAUAUCCAAAGAAAAUGAAAUCAGCAACUCCAAGCACCUCCAUGUUCAAUACAAAAUUAUUCGCAAAAGCCAAGAAAUGGAAUCAACCUAAAUGCCAGCCAACAGAAGAAUGGACUACACACACACACGUGUGCACAUACAUGUAUAUACACACAUAUAUAAUGAAAUAUUAUUUAGUAUAAGAAAUAAAGGAAAUAUUAUCAUUUGCAAUAACACAGCUGAAUGAAGGAUGUUAUAUUUAGUGAAGUAAGCCGGGCACAGAAAGACAAACACCAAGUGAUCUUGCUUAUCUAUAGAAUCUGAAAAGCAGAACUUACAGAAGUACAGAGUAGAAUAGCAGUUUCCAGGGGCUUGGGACUAGAAAAAUG
ensembl:lncRNA